ACCUCAAGUUAUCUGCCUGCCUCGGCCUCCCAAACUGUUGGAAUUACAGGCGUGAACCACCAUGCCUGGCCAGCUCUAUUUCUUUAAGCCUACAUGUUUUGCACUUGUUAAAAGUAUUUGAACAUACAAUUACUCAGCUUCCCUUGUUUACGCGUGAAUUUUGUAGAAUCUUAAAUAUUUUUUCCAAUCUAAGCUUUAUUUUAUCCCGUUUCUUCUAUAUUUGUAUAACUUUAGGCGGCUAUCUUCAUUGAAAGUUUUUUCUCAAAAGCCUUAAGAUAGAACGUAGUUCUUGGCAGCAAUUUGAAAGUUAUUUGAGGAGAAGGGGAGACUUACAAUGAUGAUUCAAAUGAAGGAAACUAAAAAGUAAUGAAGCAAGGCAGAGGAAAAAGCAGUACUCACUUGAGCACAUCCCAAAAGAAAAACAUUUCAAAUGUAACUAGAAAAAAAUAUGCUGAAGUUCGCAAUACAGAAAUAAUUAUUAAUAAGAUAGCUUUAAAGCCCUGCUCAGCUUUUGAAUGUUGGGAAUUGACCCAGAGGUGGCUGUAACCUAAGAUGGUUCCUUCAGUAAUGACCAUUUUUUCUUUUUCAAGAUGAUGAUUAUUCCCCACCUUCUAAGAGACAAAGACCAACGAGCCACCACAGCCACCAGUCCCAGAACCCGCCAAUGCUGGGGAACGGAAAAUGAGGGAGUUCAACUCUGGCCCUCACAAUCCAGUGGAGGAGACGAAACUCAUCUGCCUCUGUCCCUCUGGGCACGCCUCAUGCCAGGUGCAUCUGUGGACAGGGGCCAUGCUCCUGGGCUUCCAAAGUUGGAGAAAGCUGCCAGGCUCAGAGCCACCUAAGCUGAAGAUUCCCUUGAGAACAAGUACUGUCCCUAGUUUCCCAGUGCUGGAAUAUAGAAAAUGGAUGGACAAGUAAAUCCCACUCAGCACCCAUAGUCCAGGCAUGGGGACCUCAACACACCUGAGCCCCAGACAUCACCUUUCAUUCUGGACCUACCAUGAAAGACUUCUGAAUCCAGGAAGAGAAACUGACUGGGCAACAUGUUAUUCAAAAACAGGACCUUGCCCUGUCACUAGGAUGGAGUUCAGUGGUCCUAUCAUGGCUCAUUAUAGCCUCAAACUCCCAGGCUCAAGCAAUCCUACCAUGUCAGCCUUCCCAGUAGCUGGGACUACAGGAAGUGAGCUCACAAUGACUCAAGCUGCCACAUACUGUUGAUUGUGAAAUGCCAGUUGAAGCAUAUGUCCUGCGAGCUUAGGGGUGCUACAAGUUGACCACUGCAGCAGUAAAGAUGACUCUGAAGAAUGGCGUGGGAUGGUUCCUUUCAAAUGCACUUGAGCAGCGGUCUCCAACCACAGGGCCACAGAGCUGGAGCUGGAUCUACCAUGAAAGACUUGUGAAUCCAGGAAGAGAGACUGACUGGGCAACAUGUUAUUCAGGUGGGACCAUCCAGUUGCAGGAAAACAAGCUUAACACGCCCACUGAUUCUACAUUAUGCUCCUACCUCCCGGCAGCCUCUCCAGGCCCAGAACUUUCUCCAGUCAGCCUCUACAGACCAAGCUCAUGACUCUCAAUGGCCUAUUUAGGCCCAUACCCUACGUCACGGCAGCCUCCGCAGAUGAGGCUACUGCCUCACAACAGCCUCCACGGGCACAGCUCCAUCGUUACAAUGGCCUCUUUAGACCCAGCUCCUGCCUCCCAGCCUUCUCUCCAGGCUCUGAACUUUCUCAGUAAGUUCAGGUAGCUGGGACUGUAGGGUCUCCCUCUGUUGUCCAAGGCUGGAGUGUAGUAGUGCUA
rnacentral:lncRNA from 1 species